UAGGGCUCUACCCUAGGAGUUUGGAAACCUGGCUUCAGUCGCCUGCUCCACCACAGUCUUCCUGUGUGACCUUCGAAAGGCAUCCGGUCUUGAUCAGAAGACAUCAAGAGAUGGAGAUUCCACCACUUCCCUUGACAGAUGUCUCAAUGGGCUUUGGAUAAAGCCCCAAGAGAAGAAAUGUUAACAGCCAUUGGCGGUGAUCGGUGAGAACAUGAGAACGGCCAUACUGGGUUAGACAAAAAGUCCAUCUAGCCCAGUAUCCUGUCUGCCGACAGAGGAGUCUGA